GCCGGUGUAGUAUAGUGGUUUAGCAUUGGACCAUGACUCUUGAGACCUGGGUUCAAAUCCCUGCCCGGCC